UACGGAGGGUGCGAGCGUUAUUCGGAUUCACUGGGCGUAAAGCGCGCGUAGGCGGCUUCGUAAGUCUGAUGUGAAAGCCCUCGACUUAAUCGAGGAAGUGCAUUGGAUACUGCGAGGCUAGAGUGCAGGAGGGGAAGAUGGAAUUCCUGGUGUAGAGGUGAAAUUCGUAGAUAUCAGGAGGAACAACAGAGGCGAAGGCGAUCUGCUGGACUGCAACUGACGCUGAGACGCGAAAGCGUGGGGAGCGAACAGG
rnacentral:rRNA from 1 species